AUUGAUCAGCUGCCUCCUGCAUGCCCCACACUGGGACCAAGCCUGCAACCUGGGCAUGUGCCCUGACCUCUUGGUGCAUGGGUUGAUGCUCAAUCAUGAGCUACACUGGCUGGGUCAUUUCUCUUCUUUGGAAUCUAAUAAGUAAGGGAUAGUAAGGUGUGCCUAGCCAUGUCCACUCCUGGCAUACUCAUGCAGCCCCACACAAUGUGGUUUGCUGGAGAGCACCAUGGUAGGAAGGAAGGUUAGGCAUGCCCUGGUCACAGGAGGCCAUUUGUCCCUUGUCGAAUAACUUUUCCUGUGUGCAUGUUAAACUGUUGGUAGCCAGGCUAUGACUUCCCAAGGGGACUACCUGUAUUAGGAUUCUCCAGAGAAUAGAACCAAUAGGAUUUGUGAGUGUGUGUGUCCAUGUGCAUGUGCGCACACAUGUACACACGCAAGUAUUUUAUGAGGAAUUGGAGAAUGUGUUUAUGGGGCUUGGCAAGCCCAGAUCUGCACUGUGGGCCAGCGGGUUCCAGACCCGGGAGAGCCAGUGGUCCAGACUGAAGUCCAAAGGUAGUCUGCUUGAGAAUUUUCUCUUGUUCAGGCAGGCUGGGCUUUUUGGUUUAUUCGGUCUCAACUGAUUGAAUGAGACCUGUCCACAGUAAGGAGAGCAUCUGCUUACUCAGAGUUCACCAGUUUAAAUCUUAAUCUCAUCCAGAAAGUCCCUGCAGUUGAUGCAUAGAAUUAGCCAUCACAGUCCCUCGAUGGGAUAUGCUUAUGGGGGCCAUGUGUUGACCCCACCCCAACCUCAGAAUUUCUCUUAAAUGCCAACAUUUUUUAGUUAAAUGUGUUAGGUAGAAUUUUUAUAACCUGUCUGAAUUGAAUUAAUGGAUAAGGAAACACUUUAAAAAUAGUGAAGCAGUUUACAAAUGCAAGGAAUUUAGGGAAGUGGUGAGUGAAGAGGGUGUGGGGUAGAGUUUAGUUGGAUGGCUUGCCACCUGUCAUGAGGAUUAUAGUUUGGCAAGAGAACAAUAAACCCCCUUUUUUUUUUCGACUGCCAUACACGGUGCAGCGGGGACCUUCUUAGAACCUUCUCUUAGAUCUCCAUGAAAGUCCCAUCGCCGUUCUGUGGGAGAAUGUCUUGGUGUGGGACCUUUGGAACUCAGGUUCUGCUGUGCAGCCAUUGAGUUCUCACCGACUCUCACUGCUGGUGGCUCUUUAGAGGACUCCUUGUGGUGUUGGGCAACCCAUGGGUUGAAUAAUUGGACGGAUGAAAAAUGUAAUUUGUUUACAUAGCAGCUAUCUUUUGAGCCAUAUUAUCUCCUAUCAACUUUGGGACAAUAUAAUAAAGUAGAGGGGUGUUUUACAGAGUAAGCCUUUCUUCAGUUCAACUUGCAGAAAUGAGGGUGUUUUUAUUUUCCAGUGAACUCUUACAACAAAAUGUUCAUUAAUUAAAAAUAGCUGCCUGAUACAGGAAACAGCUCAUAUAGCAGCUUCUGACACGGUUCUAAAAACAGACUUGAGCUGCUUGCGUGCUAAACAGGAAUGAACAAUGAAAACUGUAUGAACAAAUUCAGGGGCCUUUCCUUGGAUUUGUCUGUACCCCUCGUGUCCUUGCUGAACACCAAGAGAUGCCAGUCAGCUGAGGUCGCCCAGCCUUGGCCAGUCCCCCGAUACCCUGUGGAGCUGCUCAUUGCUUUCUACGAAAAAUGAAAACUCUUAAUUUUGUUUGUUUUUGUUUUUUUAGAAAGAGGAAGGGAGAGAGAGAGACAGAGAGAGGGAGAGACAUCUAUUGGUUGCCUCUUAUACACGCACCAACCAGGGUCUGAACCUGAACUAUAGGUAUGGGACCGGAACUGAACACUCAACCCUUUGCUGUACAGGACGAUGCUGAGCCACACCAGCCAAGGCAAAAACUCUUAACUUUUGUCAUUAUUUUUUACUCUAAGAUCUGUCUCUAGCAUAGACUCUAAGAGAAGUCUCCUGAGAUUUAGAAAGUAUAUUUCAUUUGCUUAAAUGAUUGUUAAAUUGGUCCUAGGUAUAAUGCAUUAAAUGUUUGGCAGGAAAAAAAAAUGUUUAUUUCACAUUAUAUUGCUUCAUAAAUAACUAAUUUAUCAUGACCAGAGAGAAUUGAAGUUCAAAAUAUACCAAAAGGGGCCUGUGUUCUGGCUAUUUCUUGCAGUUUAAUAAACCAUUCCAAAGUGUAAUAGCUUAAACCAGCAAUUUGUAACCUUGGGAUUUGGUGGGUUGACCAGGAAGUUCUGUUUCAUGUGAUGUUGGCUGGAUGCUGGAAUGGCUGUUGUCCUCUGAGGCUUGGAGAAGAGCUCAGCGGGACCCAGCAGCUGCUUGGGUUGCCUUGUGGUGUCUGGAUUCCACAAGGGAAGAGGUGGAUGCUGCCCGACCAAUUAAGGGCUACGACCAGAGUUGGCGCUGCAUCAUUUCUGCCAUAUUUUAAUGGUCUAAGCAGUAAUAGGCCCAACCCAGAGUCGGUGUGAGAAGGGACUAUGCAAAGACAUGAAUACUCAGAAGUGUAGUUCGUUGGAGGUGGUCACCAAAAUAACGGUUGACCAGGGUGUGUGCUCUCUGGCCCCUCACACAUGUAAACUGUGCUGACCCCGACACAAGACCUUCACAAUCGCAUUACUACAUCAGCUUAGUUCAGGAUUAGUCUAAAUCAAGUCAAAGAGCUGAUGAGGCUCUUUCGGUACAGCUAAUCUCAACUGAAUACCUGGGAACUAAAGUGACAAACUGGGAACUAAAGGGACAAACUACACUACGGGGUUGCCUGUUCAAUUCCUGUCAGGAUGCAUGCCCAGGCUGUAGGCUCGAUCCCCAAUAGAGGACAUGCAGGGGGCAGCAGGUCAAUGUUUCUCCCUCACUUUGAUCACAUUGCUGUUUCUCUCUCCCUCUCCCUUCCUCUCUCUAAAAAUCAAUAAAAACGUUUUUAUUUAAAAAAAAGAUGCAGUCACUUUAGAAACAGUCUGGCAGUUUCACAAAAUGUUAAAACAUCAGAGUUGUAAGAGAGUUGUCAUAGUACCCAGAAAUUUCAUACCUAAGCAUAAACCCAAGAGAAAGGAAAUCAUGCAUCCAUACAAAACUUGUACAUGAAUGUUCAUGGUGACAUUGUAAGAGCCACAAGGUGGAAACAACUCAAAUAUCCAUCAACUGAAGAACGGAUAAAUAACAUUUAGGAUAUCCAUACAAUGUAAUAUGUAAUUUACAUAUUACAUAUUACUAUAAUACUACAGUAUUACAUAUUUACAUAUUACAAUUUACUGUAAUACUAAUACAUAUUACAGUAUGGAUGAACCUUUAAAACACAAUAAGUGAAAGAAGCCAGCCACAGACGGUCACAUCUUGUAUGAUUCCAUUUAUACCUAGAAUAGACAAAUCAAUAGAAACAGAAAGUAGAUUAGUGAUUUCUGAGGGUUGUAUGAGGGAGAGCUUAAUAACUAAAGUGUACAGGUUUCUUUUGGAGGUGAUAAAAUGUUCUAAAAGUAACUGAUUGUAUGUAUCUGAAUUUACUAAAAAUCUUUGAAUUGCAAACUUGGGGUGAAUUGUAUGGUAUGUGAAUUUUUUAAAAGGGCAGAAGGGGGGACAUGGGAGGCACCCAUAGGCAGCUCUAAAACCCAGCCAGGUAUAUGUCUGUGGUUCCUUGUUUAGGGGCCAGUUUGUAUGGCUCUUCUUUCCACCCUCUAGGCUCUGGGCUGUAUUUUCUGACUCUUCUUACUUUUCCACAAGAAAUGGUUCGUGUUUGCAGCCUCUUUGUAUCUGCAUAAGGCACUGAUAUUUUUUAUUUUGAACUGUUUCUGUCUUUUCAGUCCAGGCUGAUAAUGCUUCCAUGGAUAUGUUUCUCAAAGUCUUUGUGGGUUUUCCCAUGUAUCUCUUUGGGGUUCACAGCAUUAGAGAAAAACCAUUUCCACAAAUCUCUUUGAGACAGAACUCUCUCUCUCCCUUGGACUACCUUUAAGUCAAUGUUGUGUGAAAAUACCUUUAAGAUUCUUAGAAGCUCUAGUGUCUGGUAGAGAUAGUCCUUAAGAUGCACCCUUAAAAUUCUUUCAAGCCUGUUGGUCUACCUCUGAUUUGCAAAGUGUGGUGCCUGUGCCACCAGCAUUAGCAUCACCUGUGAAUUGAAAUUGACUACAGAGGUCAGACCCACUUUAGAUUUGCUGAAUCAAACUGUGAGGAUCCAGCCCAGCAAUCUGGGUUUCAGCAAACCCCGGAGCUAUGUCUGACACACACGAAGUUUUAGAACCACUGGUCUAAAUGGAGAGAGUCUAUGAGGAACCACUUAAAAUCUUUAUGAGGCUCAACAAAGGGCUGUGCAACCACAUCCUUGAGGACACAGGAUUUGAUCUUUGCCCUGAGCUAUUUCUUAUUUUGUGCGUCAUUUGCUAAGAUAAUGAAAUGAGGAAUCGUUUUAUUUGGGGACCUAUCAAGUUCAACUCCUUUAUGUUUAUUUCCUCUAAAUUCUGCUUGGAAGGGAACCGAACGGUUUCUUUUUUGUUCAUCCCACUACUCCUGUAUUUUAUCACAGGCAGCUAAGAAAAGCCAGUUGGUACUUUCAACAUUUUUCCUGGAAUUCUCCUUAGAUCCAUGAACUGGAUAACUUUCAACCUUCCACAUUACUGCACGCAGUGGGUGUGCUAAUUAUUCUGCUGUACAUAAUGUAGCUUCCCUUUCUUCAGCCAGCAAUAACAUUUCUUCACUUUUUCAAAUCUUUAUUAACAGUCACCUCCAUCUUCUGGGAUCCAAAGCCAGUACAUAUUUUAGGUUUUUGUGACAGUGGAACCCCAAUUCUGGUACCAAAUUUUGUUUCAGUAACCUACUGCUGCAUAACAAAACAAACCCAAAUUAUUGGCUUAAGAAAACAGUUAUCUUGCUCACAAUUUUGAGAUUUGGCCAGGGUUUGAUAAGGAUGGCUCCUCUCUGGCCUGCGUGUUUUCAGCUGGGAGAGCUCGAUUAGGACUGUAGGAUUUAUUUCCAAGAUAGCUCACUUAGACAGCUGGCAAGUUGGUGCUUGCCGAUGUCAGCUGGGAUUUUAGCUGAAGUCGUCAGCUGGGACCUUGAUUCUCCUUCAUGUAGGCUGCUUGAACCUUCUCACAGUAUGGCAUCUGGAUUCCAAAGUGGAGAAAGCAGAAGUUGCCAGGCCCCUUACAGUGUUAGCCUAGAACUGGCGCAAUGUCAUUUCUGCCCUUUGCUGUUGGACAAACCAUCAUAGACCCAGCACAGAUUCUAGGAGGUGGAGAAGUAGACCUCGCCUCUUGGGAGUAGUGACAGGAUUUGUGGCUGUCAUUCACCCUCUGUAAUCUGUUAAGGUUUUUUUUCUUUGUGUUGUUGUGUGUGUGUGUUUUAAAUACUGAAAAGGCACUCUUGGCUAAAGUUAGGAGUUGAUGAAAAGUAAUUUGUUCAUCACUUGAAGAAAGGUCAAACUCUAGAAGGAGGUUUAAAAGAAAACAUUUAUAUAGACAGAACCUCUCAAUAUCUGGACAUUUUAAAUGUUAUAUUUCACUGGUGGACAGAAGUCAUUUUUUCUUUUUUUCUUUUUUUGGUAGAAUUACAUUUUUAUGAGACUGACGCGCAACCCACUGGGCCAGGAGGGCCGCCGGCGACAGAAUUACUUUUUUAAAUUCCUCAUCAUCGUAAUCAUACUCUUCAACUUUGGUUGUGUCAAGAUUUCUAUGUGACGGGGACAUCUGAAUGCAUUACGUAUCUUAUUUGGUCUCAACAAUGAACUGUUUAUUUUUAGUAAAGGUUGCCUCAUACUGUGUUACUGAAUGCAGAGAAAUAGUCCCCUUCCACAGGCUCCAUUUCUUAAAAUACGGACUAAAUGCUGUUUAAGAGUUGUGGACAACGAAAGGCGGGCUCUGUAUACAUUGUAGAAAUGAUUGUGGUAAAGGCAGUGGGCGAUAAUGGGAUGAAAGAAUCCCAAGGUUUUCUGUCAUUUGGAGCUUCUGUGUGCAGCUGUCUCUACAUUGGCACGAGAGGACAAAACAGGUGGCAGCAGGAGCUGGCUUCUACUGUUGUUUACUCACCCGAAUGGUCUAUUAGGUUAGUUCAUACAGGCUAGUAAAUGGCUUCCUGAAUUUGUUAAGCACUUAUAUUAGUAAAUGUUUCCCUACCCAGUUUUAUGCUCUAUUAAAAAAAAAAAUCAAAUUAAUGCUGUAUUACAAUAGGGAUUCAAUGGCAUUUAAAUACAUCCUGUAGCUUUAAGAUUCAUAGAAUCUGACAGAUAUUCAAUCUUUGACCUUUAACUUUGGUUCCUGUUUUUAGCUUUGGUUUCAUGCUUUUGAGUUUGGUUACGAGUAUACAUUAUCACGCGGCACUGAUAAGUCAUUCACUAUUGAGGUAAUUUGAAUGUUUUUCUUUAAUUUGAUUGUAAAAAUGUUUUGGGGGCAACACUAGUUUUGCUUACUUGCUUUUAGUUUUACUCUCACAUCUGAAUAGUCGUUAAGUGUUACUAAUAACAUACUUCCUCCUUUUCUGUCUCUCUCUCAUUGGUUCUUCUACUUAGGUUUUUCUUCUUUAUUCUACUCAUACCCUACCCUGUCUGGUGGUGAGACAUAUUUAGCAGUGAGAUUAUGGGUGUGGGGAUGAAAUGAUUAAAAUACACGUGUUUGAUUUUGUAUGAGGAGUCCUCCCAGCUUCUUCUUGAUUCUCUCUAUCCACUGUCAAACUUCCUUGGCAUGAUAUCGUUACCAAUCGUUCAGAAAAUGAUGUCCACACUCUCAGUUUUCAGAAAUUAUCUUCUGUUGUCUCUCCACAAAUUAUAAUUCCAUUUGCUUAGGGAUAUCCUCAGUGCGUGCUCAUCAUCAAGCAAUUAUUGUGUGAGCCAGUAAAGCAUCUAGGAAACAGAAAAUGGUCACUAUUAUUUGCUCUUCAGUGUCCAGUCUUCAUAUUCUUUCUCAGUCAGAUUUGAAAACUGGACAUGUUUUCUGAAGGCUUGGAUUGCACACUUGUAGAAUGUUGGUGGGCGGCGGGGGAGGGGGUUCUGCGAGUUAUUUUGGUCGUCUCAGGCCUUCACAACUGUAUUUCACUCAUCAUCAAUAGGACCUUCCUUGUUUCAAAGUUUGUACAACCAACUUACUGCAUUAUCAUUAUUUUGAGCUCCAAUUGUUACAAAUGUAUUCUUGGAUAUGUUAAAAAAUUGUCCUUUAUUUCCCUUGGAUAGAUAUAUAACCUUCUGAUUAUCAUCUAGCUAUUUUCAUAGAAUUCCCAUUUCUGGGCUAAAUAAUUUUAAUCCCUUUGAUUUUCUCAUAUCCCACUUUCCCCAUAGCUUCAGUAAAUUGUCUAAAUAGUUAAUAUUAAUACAUUUAUUAUUCAACAGAAUUAUUUUUCUACUUGACCUUCCUUCUGUAAAUAGCUAAGCAGCAAAAUUCAUAAAGCAUUAUUUUUUACCACUAUUUAAAUAUAUCAUUUAUAAAGUUAUGUAAUUGCAGUUAUAUAAUUUAGAACCCUAAUCUUGCACUAUAACUGCACAUGUAAUGAACAGGUUUGAUACAUAGAAUAAACAUAAUAAUCAAAAAAGGGAAUGAAAAAAGUGCUGCAUAUAAUUGGAAGAUACUUAUUCUAUCCUCCCUUCUACUUCCAAUCUGCUCUGUUUACUGUUUUAAUUGCAAAAUUCUCUGUGGUGCCCUUUCAUUUAUUUGUAAAUUAUAUAAACCCUGUCUUUCUGAAAAAUCUGCUUAUUUUCCCCAAAUGGACAUAUUUGGAUUUAUGUUACUUUUGAUUUUUAACUUUAGUUAAUUAAGAUAAUUUUUACUUUCAAAACUUGUUUGGACUAUCACUUUUUAUUUCAGUAGCAUUUGUAAGAGAUUUCUAAUUUAUUAUUUAGGUUGCUUUUGAUAGAUAUACCCAUGAAAACUACAAAGUACUGAUGAAAGUAAUUAAAGACCUAAGUAAAUGAAGAUAUAUACAUAGUUGACCUAUGAACCAGGAGCUCACGGUUCAAUUCCCAGUCAGGGCAUAUGCCAGGGUCACCGGCUCAAUCCCCAGUAGAGGGUGUCCAGGAGGCAGUCGAUCAAUGAUUCUCUCUCAUCAUUGAUGUUUCUAUCUGUGCCUCUCCUUUCCUCUCUGAAAUCAAUACAAAAAUAUAUAAAAAACAAAAA